rnacentral:rRNA from 1 species
UUGACUGACUGAGUGCCAGCCGCCGCGGGUGGGGCAGAUGACUGGGGUGAAGUCGUAACAAGGUAACCUCAGUCAGUCAGGUCGUAACAAGGUAACCUCAGUCAGUCAAGUCGUAACAAGGUAGCCUCAGUCAGUCAUGUCGUAACUAGGUAACCUCAGUCAGUCAAGUCGUAACAGAGGUAACCUCAGCCUGGUCAAGUUGUACUAAGGUAGCCUCAGUCAGUCAGAGUCUGUACACAAGGUAAUCCUCAGUCAGUCAAGUCGUAUCGAGGUAACUCCCAGUCAAUCCCGCGGUCCAUGGCGGCCGGGCAGCAAGCGUACUACGGGCCCAUAUC